GCCGUGGCUCCCCGCGUUCUGCUCCCGCAGCCGGCCCGGCCGGUUCCCCCACGGCGCUGCCCUCCCCGGGAGCCGGUCCUUGUCCUCAGCGAGGGGUUGUGGCACCCCAGGUGGCGCGUGGCUGAACUCGGGGCGCCUCAGGAGCCUUUCUUAAAUAGACUGAAGGGCGGUCAUACCCUGCUCGGUGCCUCGCAGGGUAGUUGUGCUCCUGUGCUGUUUUGAAGUCAAUAUUUUGCUGGAGAGACUGGCUGGGCAGCAUUUGAAGGAAAAGUACAGAGCAACUGGGUCAGGCCCUAAACCCGCAUUUGCGUAGGUACCAGUACUUCCAGUAAUAACGCGAGUGACUUUUCAGGCUGCGUUGGAGCUCUUCCUUUGGCAUCGGCAAGGAGUCGCGGAGUUCAGCAUGGCUGCUGGUCAGUAGAGGAAGAUGCAAAGUGCCCCCUCUUCCCAGCCAUUGCAUCUGUCCGGGGCCUGUCUGAGAGAUUGCUUUCUUCAGAGGAUCUCUGAACAUUUCAGAAGGACUAAUGAAUUAUGCCUCACAGCAGCCCAUAAGGUGGACCCUUCAUGGCCAGCUGCAGCCUAUCCUGCAAGAAAUAUUUCCAAGAGAGUCAGAUAUCACUGACAUCUUCACGAUAAACCACUUAAACACAGAAUGAAAGACUCACCUUUAGAUGUUUCCAUUGAAGUUGUUUUCAAAGAAAAAUAUGAAGAGGCAAACUCUGCUCUCCCUGAUAUUUUUAUAAAUCUGGCGCAACUCUACUGAAGCCAAGAGCUAAAACCAAAAUAAGGCCUGGAAAUUUUGUCUUCUGGCUCAGAAAACAAGAGUCAACAAAGGGCCUGAUUCGUCAUUGAGGAAAGCCAAAUCAACACCAAAGGAUAACUAAUGCUUUGUAACUUGGAAUCAAGCGGAUCCAGUGGAGCCAGGAUAACAGACAGAAUUUCAAGACUGAAGAUGCAGUGUAAAGCAGGUGUGCGUUUGCUCAAGGGGACUAAAGUUACACCCAGAAAGGGUUGAAGCACUACGUGAAACGUAAUCAUCAUUCAGAGCACGUAGCGAGGUGCGCAGGGAAUCGGCUGGCACGCCAGCGAGUGAGUGAGAGGUGAGAGGGCUUUCUCUAGGGGCUCAUCUAGGCGGCGCAGCCACUGGCUGCCAUAAUAACAACCCUCCCGCUGGCAGGAGAGCAGCUUAAAAUAUUUGUGUGACUGCACAUUUGGACGGGACUGCACAAGUGUGAGAAAGGAUAGCUAUCUUGCGGAAACAAGAAAGUUUGCUUAUGUCCCUUGUGGCACCUUCUGUGUUUUUUUUUUCUGCCCUAAUUUUCCUGUUAAAUCCUCACAGUGUAGUUAUCCAUAUUUCUUCCACUGCCCUUACCAGCUUUUCUUUUUUGUUUGCUUUUCAAUACCUUCAUUCUUGUCCUUCCCAAGUCCAGUAGCUCACAUUUUGUUGCCAUUCUUGGGAUGUAAGGUAUUUUUCUGACCACCCAUUGGCAUCUGGGGUAUCGUUUCCCUUUCCCAACAUCCCCUUUCUUGAACAUCUGGGGCCACAGCUGUGUGUAGGUGAAUAUUAAAAAGCCUUCAGGGGACUGGGGUAACAGUCAUAAACUGAUGGAAACUGGUAUUAUCUAAACUUCAGUAGUUAACUUUUCUGUGAGACGAUACCUGCUGCUAAAUGUCCCGCCCUACAAAGGAGGCGCUCAGCUGGAGUCAUGUAGAUGACAGAGACUGUGCUGUCAGCAUCCAGCUACUUGCAGCAUCUUUCAAACCUCCUGAAGUGUAGAGCAGCCAGCUGGCCUCUGCACCUGUGCUGGUUUCAGCGAGGAUAGAGUUAAUCUUCUUCACAAUAGCUAGUAUGGGUCUAUGUUUUGGAUUUGUGCUGAAAACAGUGUCAAUAAUACAGGGAUGUUUUAGUUACUGCUGAGCAGGGCUUACACAGAGUCAAGACCUUUUCUGCCCCUCACCCCACCCCACCAGCGAGCAGGCUGGGGGUGCACAAGGAGCUGGGAGGGGACAGAGCUGGGACAGCUGACCCCAACUGACUAAAGGGACAUCCCACACCAUAUGGUGUCAUGCUCAGCAUAUAAACCUGGGGAAGAAGAAGGAAGGGAAAUGUUUGGAGUGAUGGCGUUUGUCUUCCCAAGUAAAUGUUACAUGUGAUGGAGCCCUGCUUUGCUGGAGAAGGCUGAACACCUGCCAGCCCAUGGGAAGCAGGGAAUAAAUUCCUUGUUUUGCUUUGCUUGCACACACAGCUUUUGCUGUUUACUUCACUUUACUGCUAUUAAACUGUCUUUAUAUCAACCCACGCCUUCCUUUUCUCACUUUUACCCUUCCAGUUCUCUCCCUAUUCCCACCAGGGAGGAGUAAGCGAGUAGCUGUGUGGGGCUUAGUUGCUGGCUGGGGUUAAUCCACAACAGUCCUUUUUGGCACCCAACAUGGGGCUCAAAGGGUUUGAUAUAAUGGCAGGUUUGAUUGGAAUGUGCUAGAUCAAAUUUAUAGCUGUUAUUGCUGUUUAGCUAUUAAUUGGCAGGCUCCUGUGCUUGCCAUGGGGCUUGCUUGCCUUACUGUGUAUUAGAGUCUAGUGCUUGUUAGUGGCUGCUUUUUGCUUUCACUGCUUGCUGUGCUGCUGUAGUGCUGACCACCUUACUCUGCUGUGCCUGGGAACAGCAAUAGCGAUGGGCCUGGGCUGGCAGAUGGCCAGGGCAUUGCUGCUGUUUCUGUGCUGCUGUACUAGACAGGCUGGAACUCCAGUGUGAACUCAAGUCGAAGGGGCUGUGACCUGUGGAUGAGUCCACGCAGGAGCAGGACACCCUGAAGCAUCUGUGGCCAUGAAUAAGUCCACACCAGAACAGGUACAUCUCAAAAUGUCUGUGACCGUGGUUAUGUCUGUGCUGCAACAGAUAUAUAUCUGAAGGGGCUGUGCCCCAAGGAUAAGUCCAUCCUGCAGCAGGUACACCUUGAAGCAUCAGUGGCCAUGUAUGAGGUCAUGCUGGAGCACGUUAAAGUGUGUGGCCAUGGAUAAGCCCCCAACAGAGCAGGUACUCCCCCAGAGGGACUGCAGCCAGGAGUAAGGCCAUGCUGGAGCAGGUUUACUUCUUCUGAAGGGACUGUGGCUGUGGGUAGGGCCGCUUUGGAGCAGGUAUGUCUCUGGAGGCUUUGUGGCCCAUGGAGAAGGCCACACUGGAACAGGUGCGCAUCAAAGUGACUGUGGCUGUGGAUAGGUCUGUGUACCCCUGGAGAGACUGUGGCUCCUAGAUAAGGCUCCACUUGGAGCAGGUACAUGCCUAAGGGACUGCAGUCUGUGGAUAAAUCCAAGCCAGAGCAGGGGCAAGGGGAGGAGUUAAUUGCAAUGUUAAACCCAAUGGUCUGGUCCAAAGGGACCAGGGGUGGAGAUUUUAAUGGAAAUACCUUUAAACUGUUGUAACCCAGGAUUUGAGUUGCAUGUUAUGGGAAUUACUACAGCAGGGACCACCAGGACCAAUGGAGGAGAAGCCUUACAAGAAGCAGUGCAAGUGCGGCAGCGACCUGACCUGGGCUGGCCUUGGUGCCCAGUAACUCCACACAACACCCCACCUCUCCUGUCCUGAGUGACCACCAUAACCGAUGGAGCCCAAAGUCAUGGACUGAAUGAGCUCCGUGGACAUUUAUGGAUAUUUUACAGGCAUUUCACAGAGAUGGUGCAUAGACUAAGGGAAUGACAUCUGUGUAUUACAUCCAAGGAUGGGAAGGGGGGUGGUGGUGGUUAAUGGGAUUUUAUUGGAUAGUGUGAGACCUGAGCAUGACGUAAAUGGUGUGGAAUAAGGGGUGGAGAAUGUUCUGGGUUUGGCUGGAAUAGAGUUAAUUUUCUUCACAGUAGCUAGUAUGGGGCAUGGUUUGGAUUUGUGCUGAAAACAGUGUUGAUAAUUCAGGGAUGUUUUAGUUACUGCUGAGCAGGGCUUACACAGAGUCAGCGCCCUUUCUGCCCCUCACCCCACCCCACCAGUGAGCAGGCUGGGGGUGCACAAGGAGUUGGGAGGGGGCACAGCUGGGACAGCUGACCCCAACUGACUAAAGGGACAUCCCACACCAUAUGGUGUCAUGCUCAGCAUAUAAAACUGGGGAAGAAGAAGGAAGGGAAAUGUUUGGAGUGAUGGCGUUUGUCUUCCCAAGUAAAUGUUACAUGUGAUGGAGCCCUGCUUUGCUGGAGAAGGCUGAACACCUGCCCGCCAAUGGGAAGCCGUAAAUAAAUCUCUUGUUUUGCUUUGCUUGCACACGCAGCUUUUGCUGUUUACUUUGCUUUACUGCUGUUAAACUGUCUGUCUUUAUCUCAACCCAUGUGUUUUCUCACUUGUACCCUUCCAUUUGUCUCCCCCAUCCCACCAGGGGGGGAGGGAACAAGCAGCUGUGUGGGGCUUAGUUGCCAGCUGGGGUAAACCACAACAGCACCCCUGUGUCUGUGGAUGCCUCUGAAAUCAGAGGAAGAAACAGGUUCUGGGGACACUGAUAGAGGAUCAACAGUACUUCUCUGGGAUUAUCUGUCAGUCCCACACCAUGCAGCGUUUGGAGUCCCAUUUUUAUGCCUUCUGACAGUAAAGCCGAGGGCUGAUUAACAUGACCUCAGGGGACAGUAAGGGAAAUGACCAUCCAUGGCCUGCUGGUGCUUAUUGCAAGUCAGAAUGAUGGCCUGUGGAAGGAUAUGAGUGCUUCUGGCACUGAGACCAUCUUUGAGUCAUGAUUGAUUGUCAUUCUUCCCAAUGAAGCCUUAAGCAUAAAUAAUAGUAUUGUGUGAAAUCAAGUCUUUGGAAUACAUAACCUUAUUCCAGAUGAGCCUGAAUCUUUAAUGGUGAAAAUUGUGACAACAGAUGAGGGGAGCAAAGCAUUUACAAAACUGGAUAGUAAAAUAUAUCUGUGCCUUUUGUCAGAGCAUGAGAACUGAUAACAGAAUCUCUGGCUGUUUCAAUGAGAAAGUGACCAACAUCACAACUCAAGACUUUUCUCUAGAGAAAAAUCUCACUCAAAUUCCCUUCCUACAGAAAUCACCUGAAGCAGAUACUAUUUUUUCUUUUGUUGUUUUAUGAGGUAGUAAAAAAGUUGGGUUUACUUCCUGUUUUGGUUUCAGACACUCUUCCAGUCCAACAGAACCGGGAAUGGCUUGAUGCAGCUAUCCUGGGCAUCCCAGGACCAAAGUCAGGGCUGGGUCAAUAGUGGUAUGGGCUUGAUUCUUCAUUUGUAUAAGCUACCAGAGGUGCUUGAUCACAGUGAUAUGCACAUGAUGUUAAAUAAAAAUCUGGCUCCAGAUGACUGUCAUUCAUCUGAAGCUGGUGUUAAAUUGACAAAAC